ACGGAGGCCGAUCUUGGUGUGGCAGCCACAGAAAUGUGAGGAAAAAAAAGGCACUCACUUUUAAAACUUGGAGUUGGGGUCCCUGAAGAGAGUGGCAGUAAAAUGAUGGGGCACCCAGAACAUGCCUGGCACAAACAUUUGCUGACGGAACAAAUGAAUGAAGUUGUGGGAGGUCUUCACCUCCACUGGACAAUCUCCAGGGGGGAGCACCAAGACCAAAGGAAGCUCAGUGCCCUGUGGGCUGUUUCAAAGCCAUCAUGAGAGAGGCAUUUUUGAUGUAUGCUUCCAGCAUGACAACUUCACAUAGGAUGUAAUAAAACAGCAUGUGCAACAGGA